GGCGCAGGCAUAUUUUUAUUAUUAUUAUGAUUAAUUAUUGUUGUAUUUCUCUUAAAUGAGUACAUAAUUAAUUUAUAACACUCGAUAACUUAUGGUAUUAAUUACAUUUAUUUAAUAGUUUUUAACAUGAUGAAAAUGUGUUCUUACACUAAUGAUAUGUAUAUGAAAAACAUAGGUUAGGUACAAAACUGGUACAAUAGUAUCUAAUAUUCUAAUGUUCCAAUCAUAAAACAGAAACACUAACUGACGAAGGCUUGUCUGUAUUUUUAAUUUUUGCGGCGGACAACACUUCCAAGCAGACAGCGUCACGUAAACCAUGUAUGUGCAGAAUCAAGUUGAGAACCAUUGAAUUUAGCCAAGAUAGAGAUUAGGCAUGUCCUCGUUGGGACCGAUGUCUCUCCACCAGAUCGACGAGUGAAUAUAAUAAAAAGUUAAAUAAUAUUGUAUAUGCAUAUGAAUUUUACCCCAUACACCCACAUGCUGUACGGCGCUUUGUCAAAUAUAGAGGAUCGAGUACUUACACGUCACCGGCGUCGCGAUCGUGUUGUUGUCCUGUGCACCCAGCGGGUCGUUUACUUUGAUUUUUUCCGCAAACUCCUGGAUGGCGAGACCGGACAAACUCCGUCCGCAGAAUUUUUCCGCCGUCGGCGUGUACACCUCCACGUUUCCAGUAGCCGCCAAUAUCUCCUCGCCUAUGUCCAACAUACCUCCGGGAAUGUGCAGGUAGUCAUGUGUGACGAGAUCGCAACUCACUUCGCCCGCUCGCCCGAUGCCUUCUUCGAGUGACGGUCCUGCAUUAAUCAAGUGUACACGUAUAUUAUUACCUAUGUCCUAAUAGCAUUAUGUAGGCUUAUAAACAUGCAAUAUAAAUAUGUUGAUUUUU